UGGUAAUCCGUGGAGCUGUUCGCGUCUAAUACUCGUUUUGUUAUUCGUGCUGUGAUGUUAAUCGAAACGCUAACCUCUCUAACGGACUACAGAGCAGAAAGCAAGUUCUCGAGCAAAACAUGGUCGAAAAAUACGAAAGUUUAAAAUAUCUACGAUUUCAAGAGGAAUCUAUCAGGAGCGUCAUAGUUUGGAGAAAAAUUAAGAUGACAAAUUGCUUUGGUGUUCACGCAGUCCAGCACCGAGCUGCACCUCGCUUAUCGCCGAAUAUAUGCCUGGAAUCUGGGCGCUGCAUCGUAAAUUCAACUGGCCGUUCGAGAAAUGGAACGGUUGAAGAUUCACCCUGAUCUCGAUCCACUGAAGAUUCUCUGUCUGAUCGGUAUGGAGCGAAGAAGCGUCGUUACGAUCCCACCUCUGCUGUGGAUACGGCUGUGGCUGAUGAUUCGUGUACGACUCCACCUGGACAGAGAGAAAUCAUCAUGAAAUUUCAUCUUGGCUUCACGAAAGAAAUCGAACGAAAGGAGGUAAACAAUCGAAAUUAAUAUUCACAUUUUGUCCAUUAUCUAUUCACUUAUUUUUGUCCUUGGCUACAUGUGUACUACAUGUAUAAAUGACACGAAAUUUAAUAUACUUGGGUCUAAUUAAUUAAUAUGUAAAUUCUAUAAUACAUACGAUGGUUUGAUAUUACUUCCUUCUUCUUCUUUUCUUUUUUCUUUUUUUUUUUUUUAUUAGAACAUGAAAGUACAAAUGAAUGGAGAGAAUAACGGUUUACACGGGAAAAGAGUAAAAAGGAAAUAGUAAGAAGUUAAGAGAAAGAGAGAGUGGCCGGUGAAAUGUAAAUCUGCUUUUAACGAAAUCCGUUCAUCUGGAAUCGGGAAGCGAGCCCUUCGUUUCGUUCGUUCGAUCCUUCCUUUCCACCCCCCCCCCCACUCCAUUUAGUACCGCAUGCUGGUACCGGCCGUUAAGCACAAAGACGACUCCUUCCAGUUCGAUGAAAAGUCGAAAGACUCGGCGACCGUUUCCGGCACCUUCGUGUUCCUCCGAUUAACGUUUUUUCUUCUGUUAAAUCCGUCUCUCUUGUGAGAGAAGCGUCUCCCUCUAGCUAACUCGUAAUAUUCACAAGGAAUGCCCAAGUUCCGAGUUUCUUAAUGGAUCAUUAUCGUUCUAAGAACUGGCGAUGGCGUCGAAAGUAAGUUAUUCGGUUGAGCGGCCCACGGCGAGUUGAAUCGCAAGUGGAUCGGCUAAGAUUUACUUAAAACUUUCCAGCGAGGAAAGAUGCCGACAAGUUUCCUGAUACUCCUGAACGUGCAUAGCAAUGUACACUCGCACUUUUAACGGCUUUAAUGGUAGUUUGAGCUUCGAGAAUUAUUCUUUCGGGAUUUAACACAUUCAAUGUGUUUCGAUCAUAAUAGU